GACGAACGCUGGCGGCGUGCUUAACACAUGCAAGUCGAGCGGUAGGGCCCUUUCGGGGGUACACGAGCGGCGAACGGGUGAGUAACACGUGGGUGGCCUGCCUUUAGCUCUGGGAUAAGCCUGGGAAACUGGGUCUAAUACCGGAUACGACUCCGCGGUGCAUGCUGUGGGGUGGAAAGCCUUGUGCGGCUGGAGAUGGGCCCGCGGCCUAUCAGCUUGUUGGUGGGGUGAUGGCCUACCAAGGCGACGACGGGUAGCCGGCCUGAGAGGGCGACCGGCCACACUGGGACUGAGACACGGCCCAGACUCCUACGGGAGGCAGCAGUGGGGAAUCUUGCGCAAUGGGCGAAAGCCUGACGCAGCGACGCCGCGUGAGGGAUGACGGCCUCGGUU
rnacentral:rRNA from 1 species